ncrna:unclassified sequences lysM-TM7 RNA
ACCUACCAGAAAAUACCGUAAGGACAAUCGUUUAACUAUAAUAUUAAUAAAAAGGUCGACAUCUUGUUUAUUUUCGGAAGAAAGGGUAUUAUUAAGGUAGUUGCAUCACAGUAAUGUGUUUGCGGGAG